CGGGGUGUAGUUCAGAUGGCUAGAACGCUUGCAUGGGGUGCAAGAGGUCGCUCGUUCAAGUCGAGUCACCCCGACCA
rnacentral:tRNA from 1 species